rnacentral:rRNA from 1 species
UACGUAGGGGGCAAGCGUUGUUCGGAUUUAUUGGGCGUAAAGGGUGCGUAGGCGGCGGAGUAAGUUGGGUGUGAAAUCCCGGGGCUCAACCUCGGAAUGGCAUUCAAUACUGCUUCGCUAGAGUACUGGAGAGGAGGCUGGAAUUUACGGUGUAGCAGUGAAAUGCGUAGAUAUCUGAAGGAACAUCAGUGGCGAAAGCGACUUCCUGGACCAAUACUGACGCUCAUGUGCGAAAAGCGUGGGGGAGCAAACAGG